rnacentral:rRNA from 1 species
AUAACGACUCUCGGCAACGGAUAUCUAGCCUCUCGCAUCGAUGAAGAACGUAGCAAAAUGCGAUACUUGGUGUGAAUUGCAGAAUCCCGUGAACCAUCGAGUUUUUGAACGCAAGUUGCGCCCGAAGCCAUUAGGCCGAGGGCACGUCUGCAUGGGCGUCUCA